rnacentral:rRNA from 1 species
UACGUAGGGCGCAAGCGUUGUCCGGAAUCAUUGGGCGUAAAGAGCUCGUAGGCGGCCUGUUGCGUCCGCUGUGAAAUCCCGAGGCUCAACCUCGGGUCUGCAGUCGAUACGAGCAAACUAGAGUGUUGCAGGGGAGACUGGAAUUCCUGGUGUAGCGGUGAAAUGCGCAGAUAUCAGGAGGAACACCGGUGGCGAAGGCGGGGUCUCUGGGCAACAACUGACGCUGAGGAGCGAAAAGCGUGGGGGAGCGAACAGG